UACCUGGUGCAAAGGAAGUCUCCUUUUAU
rnacentral:piRNA from 1 species